CCUCGCUCGGUUCUCUUCCCACCAUAGCCUGGCAUGCAUCUCGCUGAAUCUCUCUCGGCUGCAAAGCAAAGGGGAUGGGAUCCGGAACACUACCAAGACAUUAUUUACUAAUAUAAAGGAGGAUGGAAGAAAAACCUGAAUCGAACACGCCGGAGUUCUCUGAUACCGCCAGGCAGAGCCCGGAUGGUAAUAUAUACGCCAGGAGAUGAACUUGUCCUCAUUGAUGCAUCCAUUGAUGAGGUUUCUGUCUUGGCUCCACUUAUACUUGAGAGCUUGGGUGUUGAAACCAGCCC